GGGGCGGGGGAGGGCGGCAGGGAAGCGAACUUUGUGUGUUUGUGUGUGCGAGCGCGUGUGACUCUUUCCCCUUUUUAAUCUGCAUCCAGCUAAAGGGGUUUUGUUUGUCCCUCUCGCCCCACUUAGUCGCUUCCCUGCUCUUCCUCUGACCCAGCACUUCUACUGCGGUGAUCCUCCUGCCUGGCAGCUGCUUGCCCAGAAAGCCAAAGGGAGGCACUACCCCCCCUCACUGAAAAGUCCCCUUUCUGCCUGUCUUAAGGGCUCCACUGAGGCCCCUCAGCUCCCAGCCCCAAUACCCGGAUCUUCUGUGUGUGUGUAAGUUUGGAGGGGGGGUGAUGGAGAAAGCUCAGCCCGCCUUCGCCCCCCAAACUACAGAGGGCAACAUCUGGGCCAGGUCCACCUUCGUCCGCUUUGCGGGAGAUUCAAGAGCCCUCCUGAUGCAGUGGAAGGAGAUAUUCUUUCUAUUUAGAUAGUAUGCAGGAGUCAAAGAAAAUCAUUCCUAUGUAUUUCAAAAUGGGAAAUUGUUGAAUGACUGGGAUUCUUGGAGCUCCCUUUCAGCUCAAUAAAUUUUGCUAAAGAGAACUGUGUGAAAGUCAUUCAGAGGAAUUUGCUGUUCAGCAACAGCUACUGAAUGAGACACCUUUAAAAAAUAAUUCAGGCACUUGUUCCUACAGCUAAAAGUGUGUGUCUGUGUCUGUGUUUCUGUGUGUGUGUGGGGGGGGGGUUCAGGAGUAAGCUGUGGGAACUGUAGUAAAGUAGCAGAAAUAACGCAGAAGGCAUGUACAGAAAAAUUAAUAAACACAGAAACCUUUGCCUUCCAACAAUUGGCGACCCACGAAGGGACUCUUAGCUCACCCAUCCACCGAGCCGGGCCCGAGGAAUCGCUGCUCUCUUGCCGGCUGUGGAUGUUUUCGUCUGCAGGACUUCCACGACUCAGCACAGCUAAAAAGGGUAGUAAAAGGAGAUCCGGAGUUUGAACUCUACAGCUGCCUGAAAGGAGGGCAUUUCUCAGCUGCUUCUCCUGUUUCGGAGGGAGAAGGGAGAAGGCGAAGGGCCCAGCAGCUGAUGCUCCCAGUUCUCCAGCCUGCCGACUGGAGGACGUCACCAAGGCUCCCAAGAGGACAUCUGUGACUUUUACUGUGGAUGUGGAGCUGCAGAAAAAAGAGCGAUGUGAUAUCCCCCAAAAUGACAGGAUUUGAAAGAAGAAGAUCCUCUUCACCAAAAGGGAGAUCAAAAGUGAAGAGAACGUACUCCAUCAAGCUGCCUGUCGUAAAAGGGACCGACAGAGGAGCCAGAAACUAUGGGAAGAGGUCCAGGAGAGGAUGAAGAAGACAGAUCAACCACAGGAACGCAGCAGCAUCCAAGGCCUCUCUUCCAUCACCACUCUGUUUAGGCAGAAGCAGAGUGGGCAAAUGGCAAACAAACAGAUCCCAUCUCUGAAGCUCUUUCCACCCUUCCUGCAUCUCCUGUUCAGGGUUUCUCCCUCUGGGAAGCCAGGUGAAGCUCUCCCUGCAGCUCCCACCAAGUCCUCACAUUCAGAUAGUUUCUCCCUUCUGCAGCCUUUCCUGGGAAAGAAGAGAAGGACUCAGUGUGAAGAUCU